rnacentral:ncRNA from 1 species
GGAAACCGGUGCAAGUCCGGUGCGGUCGCGCCACUGUGAAACCACCCCCCACGGGUGGUGAGUCAGGACAC